rfam:Octopus bimaculoides Scaffold11403_contig_41, whole genome shotgun sequence.
AUAGUUUUGGUAGUAAAUUUAUUUAAAUUGGAACAGUACAAGGAAGAUUGGUGUGGUUCCUGUGAAAGGAUGGCAUGCAAAUUUGUGAAGUGUUCCAUAUUUUC